UGCCCUGGCAAUGGACAAAGAGACACUUUGUUGGUGGUGGUGUUUUUAUGUCAGUCAGAGGCAAAGAGAUGACAGUCCUGUGGUCAUCCAAGUUUGAUACCUGGCUUGGUGGCCAAAGGCAUUUUAUGCCUAGGACUUAUAA